rnacentral:rRNA from 1 species
UACAGAGGUCUCAAGCGUUGUUCGGAUUCAUUGGGCGUAAAGGGUGCGUAGGCUGCGGGGCAAGUCGGGGUGUGAAAUCUCAGAGCUCAACUCUGAAACUGCACUCGAUACUGCUUUGCUUGAGGACUGGAGAGGAGAUUGGGAAUUCACGGUGUAGCAGUGAAAUGCGUAGAUAUCGUGAGGAAGACCAGUGGCGAAGGCGGAUCUCUGGACAGUUCCUGACGCUGAGGCGCGAAGGCCAGGGGAGCAAACGGG